rnacentral:pre_miRNA from 9 species
CCUCGAUCGCAUAAAAGUUAACUCAAAUUUGUAUGGAGUCGGAACAUUUGUCUACGUUUGUCGCUAGGGGCGCUGUUUCAACUGCAUACAAAUUUGAGCUAACUUUCACGCUAUCGA